AACGAACGCUGGCGGCAUGCCUAAUACAUGCAAGUCGAACGAGAUCUUCGGAUCUAGUGGCGCACGGGUGCGUAACGCGUGGGAAUCUGCCCUUUGGUUCGGAAUAACUUCUGGAAACGGAAGCUAAUACCGGAUGAUGACGUAAGUCCAAAGAUUUAUCGCCAGAGGAUGAGCCCGCGUAGGAUUAGCUAGUUGGUGAGGUAAAGGCUCACCAAGGCUACGAUCCUUAGCUGGUCUGAGAGGAUGAUCAGCCACACUGGGACUGAGACACGGCCCAGGCUCCUACGGGAGGCAGCAGUAGGGAAAAUUGGACAAUGGGCGCAGGCCUGAUCCAGCAAUGCCGCGUGAGCGAUGAAGGCCUUAGGGUUGUAAAGCUCUUUUACCCGGGAUGAUAAUGACAGUACCGGGAGAAUAAGCCCCGGCUAACUCCGUGCCAGCCGCCCGCCGUAA
rnacentral:rRNA from 1 species